rnacentral:rRNA from 1 species
UACGUAGGUGGCAAGCGUUGUCCGGAUUUAUUGGGUUUAAAGGGUGCGUAGGCGGCCCUGUAAGUCAGUGGUGAAAUACUCUAGCUUAACUAGAGGGGUGCCAAUGAUACUGCAGGGCUUGAGUACAGACGAGGUUGGCGGAAUUGAUUGUGUAGCGGUGAAAUGCAUAGAUACAAUCAAGAACACCGAUUGCGUAGGCAGCUAACUAGGCUGUAACUGACGCUGAGGCACGAAAGCGUGGGGAGCGAACAGG